UGAUACGGUUCCACGGCAGUGGGGAAGGCGACGAUCCGGAGGCACGACCGACCGACCAGUUGCUCCUCUGCGACCGAGUAAAUUUUACGUUAUUUCACCCACGUGCUCGCAUGUGUGCGUGUUCUGUCACGUACGUCUCUCUGUGGAGAAACAUUGCAGUCAUUGACCGGUAACUGGACCGAGUAUAUAGGAAGAAUAGAGGAAGAUCAGAGCUUGAAGCGAUCGCGGAGUCAGCAGUCGUACGUAGAAAGUGUAGGAUGCGCUUGCGUAUUUUCGUUUCCUGCAUGCGGGUGUUUAGCGUGCACGGGGAACCCGCCGUCCAAAAAACGCUGUCGAGGAUGAUGCCCGUCCGAUCGGGAUGCGGAUCAGGUGAUUUGCAUGCUCUCGAUUCGGAGGAGUGACUGGUGCGCGAUGAACGCGAAAGCUUUCGCACUCAUGGAUUUUUCUUGAGUUCCGGCGUGCAGUGCUGCCGCCAUCGUUGUAGUGUUCUGCAAGAUUUCGUGGUUUUAAUCGGACUCGGCGUAGAGCGAUGUAUCGACGGAACGUUAAUUAAAGGAUACGUGAGAGUAUAGCGAGUUACAAGUUAGUUUGCCGCUAAUUAUCGCGUCUCGCCGAAUGUCGGAUGAGAAAGAGGGAGGAAGGACGUAAGGGCGGGAGGAAGAGGGAGACAGGGAGAAAGAGAGCGGAUAGAGGGAAAAAUAAAUAACUCGGAAAUAUUAAGCGUUCCGAUCUCUUUAACUCGACUUCAGUACGCUUCGACGCGCCUGCCGCGGAACUCACCUCCCGCCUUUAUCGCGAACGCUGUCACGAUUCAUACACGCUGGUCAUUCGAAAAAACUCAAUCGGAAGAUAAUACUUCAUAUACAAGACAAUCGAGAGAUCCACGUACUUAGAUAUGCUCGUCCCGGCAGAUCACGCUCUCCAUGACGCGAUACAGGUAUCGCCGCUCGUGCUCUUGGACGACGUUAGGCGGCAAAAGGUAAGCGCAC